AGUUUUAUAGUUUAAUAGGUAGAAUGCUGGCAAUUAAGGCCAGAGACUUAGGUUUAAUUCCUGGUGGUAUUU